AUGCUUUUCUGUGAGACGAGCAAGGACGGUACCACAGGAAGAAGCCCCGGCUAACUACGAGCCAGCAGCCGCGGUAAUACGUAGGGGGCGAGCGUUGUCCGGAGUUACUGGGCGUAAAGGGCAUGCAGGCGGUCGGACGCGUUUCCAGUGACAGCGGGUGGCUUACCUACCCGAGUAUUGGAAAGACGGUUUGACUUGAGGACUCGAGAGGGACACGGAAUUCCGGGUGGAGUGGUGAAAUGCGUAGAGAUCCGGAGGAACAUCGAAGGCGAAGGCAGUGUCCUGGCGAGUAACUGACGCUGAGGUGCGAAAGCUAGGGGAGCGAACGGGAUUAGAUACCCCGGUAGUCCUAGCCGUAAACGAUGACCACCAGGUGUGGGAGGUAUCGACCCCUUCUGUGCCGGAGUUAACACACUAAGUGGUCCGCCUGGGGAGUACGGUCGCAAGAUUAAAACUCAAAGGAAUUGACG
rnacentral:rRNA from 1 species